AGAAGAGCGUGGCCCCUGUCAGGUGUUAGAAGCCGUUUCUUGCGUACUUCUCGGAUAGUCGACGAAUCCUUUAUGGGCCAUGCAUGAAGAGUCACAUCCAAGUCAUGAAAAAUGUUUAAUAUCCAUCGUCGUGCAUUGCACGCUGCAUCACGAUCUAGAACGUGUCAUCGUUACCGAUUCCUGACACGAUCCGAGACACGCUUAAAAAAUUAACACUCGAAAAGGACACGUUUGCCGUUAACACGUUUUACGAGGACGAUCUACUUGGUCGCAGAUGUGCGGGGAAUUCGACCGUCAUCCGGAAUCUCUCGUUUCCAGCGAUAAAACGAAGCGGCGCAAUCGAAGGGCGAGAAAAAGCGCGAGGACGAGCCGAUGGAGAAAGAUUGGCCCUAAAACGCCGACGAGGCACAGAUAAGAGACGAUCCCGUGACGUUUCGUCUGCUCGUAUCUUGCAGAUUACCGAUUCUUCCAACUGUGGCACCGCAAGAGGUGAAAAGUUGCUGUCCAGCGCUCGUCGAAGACACACGCGAGACAAGUUGCUGAAGUCACCUACCGGAUCCUCUGGGCUUUACGACGGAAACGACGAAUUCAAGGUCGCAGCGAUGCAAUCUCCUGAAAAUUCGACGCAGAUCCCAACAACGGUUACUCGCUUUGGUAAAGGGUUUCAAGGUUACUUUUAAGG